GGUGGAGAUUGUGAAGAAGUGUGUCAUCUGAUCUAUCCACAAAGCUGAAGUAUCAUGAAGACUCUUAUUCAAAGAGAGGGUUUACUAAGCUUUAUAUUGUCUCGUGAAAAGCACGUGAGCUGAGUUUAUGGAUUAAACUCAAGCGAGGUCAAAAGCGUCUUUAGCUUCAUCAUCGUCAUCUUCGACGGAUCCGUAACAGAACGGAGAGAGCGAAAGCUCGAGACUGGGGUGAGAGAGAGAUUGGGUUGGUGAGAGAUAGAGCUAGAGAGAGAGAAGGUUCUCAGUGUAUCUAAGCUCGUUAUCUUGUUCUCCUUCCUCUAUUUUUCUUGUAUCUUGAGUUGAGUUGUAACCAAGAGAGACGAAGGAAGUGAGCGUGGCCUUUGGUGAACUCUGUAAUCAUGUUGAUUAUAGUGGAUUGAGAAACAUGAUUCUCUCCCCGGUGAUGUAUAGCGGCUUCUCCACAUUGGAGAAGUGCGGUAAACACCGUGUAAACAAAUCUCUUGUGUUCUUUGUGUUUGCUUGAUUCAAUCUUGAUUAGACUUGCUAGGGUUGUGAUGCGUACUGAUUUGAGUUAGAAUCA
rnacentral:lncRNA from 1 species